UAAUGUAUGGGGAUCUGCCCGAUAGAGGGGGAUAACUACUGGAAACGGUGGCUAAUACCGCAUAAUGUCUACGGACCAAAGCAGGGGCUCUUCGGACCUUGCACUAUCGGAUGAACCCAUAUGGGAUAGCUAGUAGGUGGGGUAAAGGCUCACCUAGGCGACGAUCUCUAGCUGGUCUGAGAGGAUGAUCAGCCACACUGGGACUGAGACACGGCCAG
rnacentral:rRNA from 1 species